AAGUCCAAAGAUUUAUCGCCAGAGGAUGAGCCCGCGUAGGACUAGCUAGUUGGUGUGGUAAAGGCGCACCAAGGCGACGAUCCUUAGCUGGUCUGAGAGGAUGAUCAGCCACACUGGGACUGAGACACGGCCCAGACUCCUACGGGAGGCAGCAGUGGGGAAUAUUGGACAAUGGGCGAAAGCCUGAUCCAGCAAUGCCGCGUGAGUGAUGAAGGCCUUAGGGUUGUAAAGCUCUUUUACCCGGGAUGAUAAUGACAGUACCGGGAGAAUAAGCUCCGGCUAACUCCGUGCCGGCAGCCGCGGUAAUACGGAGGGAGCUAGCGUUGUUCGGAAUUACUGGGCGUAAAGCGCACGUAUGCGACUUUGUAAGUUAGAGGUGAAAGCCUGGAGCUCAACUCCAGAACUGCCUUUAAGACUGCAUCGCUUGAAUCC
rnacentral:rRNA from 1 species